rnacentral:rRNA from 1 species
AUGCAGCAGCCACGACAUCGCCAGAGCUGCGAUGCAGUGGUCGGAGUCGACACCACGGGAGCUGCCAUGCAACGGUCAUCGACGCCAUCAGAGCUUCAAUGCAGCAGCCACGACGUCGCUGAGCUGCGAUGCAGCGGCCGUCGGAGUCGACGCUGCCGGCAAAUGCUGCACUGUAGCACCGGGAGCCGCAGGCGAUGCUCCAUUGCAACAUCGAGCGUCGUAGCUCUGGAGCCACUGGCGAAGCUCCAAUGCACCACCGAGGUCGCUUCGCAGCUUCGGGCCGCCGGCGAGCACUGCAUCGCAGCGCCGGGAGCCGCCGGCGAAGCUCCAUUGCAGCACCAAGGUUGCAUCGCAGCGCCGGGAGCCGCCGGCGAAGCUCCAUUGCAGCACCAAGGUUGCAUCGCAGCUCUGGGAAACGCCGACGACCUUUGCGUCGCAGCACUGACAGCUGCCAGCGGAGCUUCAUUGCAGCGCCGGCGGAGCUCUUCAUUGCAGCCCGGCGGAGCUUCAUUCGCAGGCUCGCAGCAAGGGUGCAGUUGCAAAAAAAAACGGCGAGCCCUCUAG